rnacentral:rRNA from 1 species
ACGGAAGGCAGCAGUGGGGAAUAUUGCACAAUGGGGGAAACCCCGAUGCAGCGACGCCGCGUGAGUGAAGAAGUUAUUCGUAAUGUAAAGCUCUAUCAGCAGGGAAGAAAAUGACGGUACCUGACUAAGAAGCCCCGGCUAACUACGUGCCAGCAGCCGCGGUAAUACGUAGGGGGCAAGCGUUAUCCGGAUUUACUGGGUGUAAAGGGAGCGUAGACGGCUUAGCAAGUCUGAUGUGAAAGGCAGGGGCUCAACUCCUGGACUGCAUUGGAAACUGUUAAGCUAGAGUGCCGGAGAGGUAAGCGGAAUUCCUAGUGUAGCGGUGAAAUGCGUAGAUAUUAGGAGGAACACCAGUGGCGAAGGCGGCUUACUGGACGGUAACUGACGUUGAGGCUCGAAAGCGUGGGGAGCAAACAGGAUUAGAUACCCUGGUA